ACCCCCGAGACCCUCUUGACCUCCACAACACCACACACUCCCAUCUUCCCUCGGGCUCCCCGUAGCCCGAAUUUUGUCGAGGAGCCGCCGCCGUUUUCUUCGACGCCGGCGACGAUUUUCGUCGCUGUAAAGAAGUUCGGGAGCAUCCGCGAUAACGGGAGCCGAACACGCCGACGCUGCGGACGUCGCUCUCGUUCUUAUCCAACCUCGCCGGGACCAGCUGACAGCCGGUGGAUCUCCGCCACAUCUACCAGCAUCGCCUCAAAGCCUCGCCCAAACCAUCCGACGUUUGUAGCUUCGUCUUCAUCCACGACCGGAGUUGCAAAAUCCAUCGCCGGCCACACACCGUGCUGUGGCCGAUUGAAGGCACCAAUGUCACAUCUGCUGGUAUGUACGAGAUGCAUUUGCUUUUAGUAAACCAACACAAUUAUCUCCUUUUAGCAUUGCCCUUCAACAUCUCUAGAGGGGUUGGUAGUGCAGGUCUGAAAUUACUAUUUGCAAAUACCACUGAUUUUUGCAGUAUCUACAUCUACCCCAAUUAGCUUCUUAUUAUUCUUUCUGUCUGUCAUCUUCUCUGUUUCACUUUCAGCUGGCAACGAAGAUGACGCUGAGGUGUUGUUUCUGGUUCAUUAGAUUUCUUCAUCUGUGUAGUUUUAUAUUGUACAUCCUAGCUAAGCACAAGUACUCCAAAAGGUUUGAAAUAUGAUAUUUUCCCCUGCAAACUUUUGUGUUCGCUUUUCAUGUUGAUGCCAACAAAUGAUAUUUAGGAAACAUUUUAUUCCUUGUGUAAUGAAAGUGAUUUAGAGGAGAAAAAUGCCAGGGAUGCAUUCUCACAGAAAGCACUGAAUCAGCAGAAGUUGCAUGGUAGAAACUGAAACUCUCAACUACAUGGUGGAGCCAAUAAGAGAAUCCAGCUCAAGAGCGACGCACAGAAAUCUGAGAAAAGAGGCAAGAACCGAUUUUGUGUGUUCUUAGCUCACAUGCAAGAGAUUGUGCUCCUGGAAAGCCACCUUGAUGAUCGACGCGCUGGAUGAAGCAUUGGGUCGUAAUCCUGCUCCAGAUACUCUAUAGAAAGAGAGCCACUCCUCAAGGAAACUAUUUCAGCAAGCUCCUACAUUACUAUCUUCACCCGGUGCUGCUGCUUUUUCUUGCGCGUGUUGUGUGGCAGCUACUCUCUCUUUUGUGAAUUUGAGAAGCUUUCUACAUAUUGGUGGUGAAAUCCAGGCUGCUAGAUUUCAUCAGGGACAUGGAAUAGCUCCCAAAGGAAGUCGCCGGAAUAGAGGAGAUUUAAUUUUGAGGGGAUGGCAUUUCAUUGCAGUGUCAGAAAUAGUGUUCCUCGGCUGCUAACGUUCUACACCGUGGUGUUAGGCUCUGGAUCGAGCUGGAGAAUGUAAAUGCUGUGUUGUCGUUGAAGUAUGAAGGGGUACGCCGUUCGAGCUCUUGAAGUUUUGUUCUGUAGAAAUCAACAGCCAGUCGCUUUCGGAGCUACCAUCUCUCUCAAGCCUCAAGGAAGUUGUACUCCCAGGAAGUUCCCAUGCGGAUAUGUUCUUGAGCAGCCAGGAGCUAAACAAGCUUUCCAUCUUUAUGUAAUUCCAGAGCCCAACGAGUAGAUUAUCUAUGUAUUUUGCGACCAGCCUUGUGGUGUCCAAAAAGAUCUUCUGCAAAAACCACCAAGAUAGAGCAAGAACUGUGUGCUCUUAGAUUUUAGAGGUAUAAGUGGUAGUUCUGAACUUAAAACUGUGUUCUCACUUCCAACCAAAAGAAAAACACAUUUUGAUUUUGUUAGCAAGUUGAAGAUAUUCUCUUAGCGAGACAAAAAUAAUCGUCAGAUCUAGCACAAAAAAAAUCCUUACUUUGACAAUUGUACACUUCAGAAAGUAAAGUUCUCAAGUAUUGGUGGUAAAAUUAAGGAAAGUUAUGGACAUA